UACGAAGGGGGCUAGCGUUGCUCGGAAUCACUGGGCGUAAAGCGCACGUAGGCGGCUUUCUAAGUCAGGGGUGAAAUCCUGGAGCUCAACUCCAGAACUGCCUUUGAUACUGGAAAGCUUGAGCUCGGGAGAGGUGAGUGGAACUGCGAGUGUAGAGGUGAAAUUCGUAGAUAUUCGCAAGAACACCAGUGGCGAAGGCGGCUCACUGGCCCGAUACUGACGCUGAGGUGCGAAAGCGUGGGGAGCAAACAGG
rnacentral:rRNA from 1 species